GGAAUAUUGGACAAUGGGCGCAAGCCUGAUCCAGCCAUGCCGCGUGCAGGAUGACGGUCCUAUGGAUUGUAAACUGCUUUUAUACGAGAAGAAACACUACUUCGUGAAGUAGCUUGACGGUAUCGUAAGAAUAAGGAUCGGCUAACUCCGUGCCAGCAGCCGCGGUAAUACGGAGGAUCCAAGCGUUAUCCGGAAUCAUUGGGUUUAAAGGGUCCGUAGGCGGUUUAAUAAGUCAGUGGUGAAAGCCCAUCGCUCAACGGUGGAACGGCCAUUGAUACUGUUAGACUUGAAUUAUUAGGAAGUAACUAGAAUAUGUAGUGUAGCGGUGAAAUGCUUAGAGAUUACAUGGAAUACCAAUUGCGAAGGCAGGUUACUACUAAUUGAUUGACGCUGAUGGACGAAAGCGUGGGUAGCGAACAGGAUUAGAUACCCUGG
rnacentral:rRNA from 1 species